CAUGUAUCAGACCGAGUCGUUUUAACAAAAUUAUUUGACCACAUCAACCAAAACUGAACUUAUUUACACUUAUCAUGUAAAUAUAUAUGGCCUCAUUGUAAACCAAUAAUAUUUCUAUGUCAGGACGGAUCGUAUGAUAAAAAUGACACCAACUUUGGAACACAAUACACCUUAUUGCUAAUCCUGGCUGACCCGGCCUCUUGAACUUUUGAAGCAUACAACAAUCACUUUUCCAUUG
rnacentral:lncRNA from 1 species